rnacentral:sRNA from 2 species
AUUUACUGAUCGCUGAGUUUCCGUGAAAGCGGAAGCGGGGGAACCAAUAAUGACGCGAUGCGCCUGUUCGAUGUGAGAGUCGAACAAACGCAGAGCAGGGGUGAAUCUUUGACAGGUGCCAUGGAUACCGGUCAAAGUAGGGCGACUCUCACCGCCCGAAUCCGACAGCUAACCUCGUAAGCGUGGACCGAGAGAGGAA